CCUACGGGAGGCAGCAGUGAGGAAUAUUGGUCAAUGGGCGCUAGCCUGAACCAGCCAAGUAGCGUGAAGGAUGACUGCCCUAUGGGUUGUAAACUUCUUUUAUAAGGGAAUAAAGUGCAGCAUGUAUACCUUUUUGCAUGUACCUUAUGAAUAAGGAUCGGCUAACUCCGUGCCAGCAGCCGCGGUAAUACGGAGGAUCCGAGCGUUAUCCGGAUUUAUUGGGUUUAAAGGGAGCGUAGACGGGUUGUUAAGUCAGUUGUGAAAGUUUGCGGCUCAACCGUAAAAUUGCAGUUGAUACUGGCAGCCUUGAGUACAGUAGAGGUAGGCGGAAUUCGUGGUGUAGCGGUGAAAUGCUUAGAUAUCACGAAGAACUCCGAUUGCGAAGGCAGCCUACUAGACUGUAACUGACGCUGAUGCUCGAAAGUGUGGGUAUCAAACAGGAGUAGAUACCCUAGUAGUC
rnacentral:rRNA from 1 species